ACGCCAUUGGUUGAGCUAAUAAUGGAGCAUCAGGAAGGAACGCUGCAGCCUUGCAUAUUGGAUAUGAAAAACAUUUACACGUGGCUUUGUGGACAUCAUUGACCCUUCCCACAAGGCUAUCUGUGAAAAUUAAAUGAGGGACCCAUUUGGACCUGGUGGGACUCCAGCUAUGCUCUGUAUGACUUCAAUCUCAACUGGCUCUUUGGUGUUGGUUUGGUCUGUCUCAUGCAAACCUCUCUUUCUCACACACACACGCAUACUAAG